rnacentral:rRNA from 1 species
CCUACGGAGGCAGCAGUGGGGAAUUUUCCGCAAUGGGCGAAAGCCUGACGGAGCAACGCCGCGUGAGGGAUGAAGGCCUCUGGGCUGUAAACCUCUUUUAUCAAGGAAGAAGAUCUGACGGUACUUGAUGAAUAAGCCACGGCUAAUUCCGUGCCAGCAGCCGCGGUAAUACGGGAGUGGCAAGCGUUAUCCGGAAUUAUUGGGCGUAAAGCGUCCGCAGGCGGUCUUGUAAGUCUGUCGUUAAAGCGUGGAGCUUAACUCCAUUUCGGCGGUGGAAACUACAAGACUAGAGUGUGGUAGGGGCAGAGGGAAUUCCCGGUGUAGCGGUGAAAUGCGUAGAUAUCGGGAAGAACACCAGUGGCGAAGGCGCUCUGCUGGGCCAUAACUGACGCUCAUGGACGAAAGCUAGGGGAGCGAAAGGGAUUAGAUACCCCUGUAGUCCUAGCCGUAAACGAUGAACACUAGGUGUCGGGGAAUCGACCCCCUCGGUGUCGUAGCUAACGCGUUAAGUGUUCCGCCUGGGGAGUACGCACGCAAGUGUGAAACUCAAANAGAUAGAGCUGAGACGNGCGAGCGACGACGAGGAGAG